rnacentral:misc_RNA from 1 species
AACGCACAUUGCGCCCCUUGGUAUUCCAUGGGGCAUGCCUGUUCGAGCGUCAUUUGUACCCUCAAGCUCUGCUUGGUGUUGGGUGUUUGUCCCCUCAAAAGGACUCGCCUCAAAAGAAUUGGCAGCCGGCAUACUGGUCUCGGAGCGCAGCACAUUUUGCGCACCAUUUCCUGCAUACUGGCGUCCAUGAAGCCUAUACAUUUAACUCUUGACCUCGGAUCAGGUAGGGAUACCCGCUGAACUUAA